GCCUGGUUGAAGAGAUGAACAAACAAAAGCAGAGGGGAUGAUACCUGCCUGGAUGAAGAGAGCUGCAGCUUGGUUGGGUGGAAAGGAUCCUGAGAGGCCCUAGUCAAGCUUUGGCGACUGGGGCUGAAGCAUUCCAGUGUCCCUGAAAGCAGUUAGGAAGCAGAAUGGGUGGCGGUAUGAGAUCUUCAUCACAGUAACGUUAUUGAAUUUAAGAAUCUAUGUUAAUCCUCAGUGUGAGCAGCAUUGGCACUAGUAUGUGUAGGGGAGUGUUCAUAUAGGGAGGUACAGUAGUCUCUAAACAUUGUG